rnacentral:lncRNA from 1 species
AAAUCUCUGAGAUUUCAGGGCCACACAGAAAUGAAAGCUAUUCACGCGCACAGUAGCUUUCUUCAUCUUGUACUUCUUAUUUAUUUGAAGCCGACAUUUAUCUCUAAUAACAUUACUUGUUGACUUUGCACUUUUCUUGAAUUGAGAAAAAUAUGCUUUAUGGUUUUAUGGUCUCUCAGCCAAAAGAAUAUGUUUAAGAAGAUUAGCCCUGAGCUAACUGCUGCCAAUCUUCUUUUUGCUGAGGAAGGCUGGACCUGAGCUAACAUCUGUGCCCAUCUUCCUCUACUUUAUACAUGGGACGCCUACCACAGCAUGGCUUGCCAAGCCGUGCUACGUCUGCAACCGGGAUCUGAACCGGCGAUCCCCGGGCCACCAAAGCAGAAGGCUCCAAGCACAGUGAAUGGAAUACAACAGAAUGGAGGGGACACUAUUAGGCUCAUAGCAUGAGCCUCAAGUUGUGCUUACUUGAGAGGCCUCGUCUCUUUUGAAAGACUGCCUGGCAACAAAUUGCCUACACUGGGAAAAAAGAGGUUCAAGGACAAUGGGCCAAGUUGGAGUGAGGGGGAUACUUCUGAGUAAAUAAAGAUGAUGAUGACUACCAUGCUCACCCGUAUCAUCACCAACACUAUUAUCUUCUGGCCCCGUCUUUAUGGAUUAAUGCUUGAGUUUGGAAGAAUAAUCUAGAAUCCCAACCAUUCUACUAAAAUCUCUGGGAGAUUGAGAAUGAAAGUCAGCUUGAAGAGAUUCAGCAAAGUUGGUGCCAGAAACUGACAGCACGAAGAGAUGGUAUUGUCAGCGGGACAAUGAUGCUGUACUCUGCUUCAGCUAUUAGCAGCCUUGGAGCAGGCUCAAUGGCAACAGUGUCAAGAUGGGAGGGAGGGGUUCUCUAAAGAAGUCAUCACAGCAUCCCGUUGAUUCUACUCGUUCUCUCCUGCUUACCCAAGUUCUGAGUUUGAGAAUAUUUGUGAGACCUUCUAGAUAGUCCUAAAGAUAAGUUGGGGAGGCUUUUGGAAUUAAAAUUGGGCUAAAAUUCUAGGAAAUGUGGAUGAGGGUAGAGCAGAAUAAAUACAGUUUAGAGACGUAUUGAGAUCUGAGUUUUAUUCUCAGCCUGGAGAAACAUAACAAUGAUAAUAGUGCUUAGUCAUUGGAAACGAUGGGUAAUUUUGUAUCUUUUCUGAAAUUUUUGUAAGUGUUUGCAAAAUGAAAAAGUAUUUUAAAAAAUGCUAGUAACAAUAUUAGUUAAAAUUGUUUGAAUAAUUCAUGUAUGUUAAAUUCGAUGCUAUAUAUGGAACUAUAUAUUAUGUAUAUAUAUAUCUAACUACCUAUAUUAUAUCUUUCAAAAAUCUAUUAGAGUUCAAGAUAUAAAACUAAGCCAAAAGAGUUGCAUAAAUCAUUUCAUAAAAGAGGAACUUAAAACUUGUGAUUGUCCCAGGUUUCCCCAUAAAAGUAGAAAUCAGGUGAGGAUUAGAAUCAUCAGCUCACAUAUAAUUAUUAGUUACCCCCAAGGAUUGGAUCUUUCAAAUUUAGUAGAAGAAGAAAACAAAAUUCUCAACAUAGGGAGACACUAGUUUGGGUUUUUUUUUUUUUCUGUGACAAUGAGAGGUUGAAACUAAUUGUUGAGUGGUUGGGAGCAGAAAGGAAAUGUUAGAAAAAUAGCAGUUAAAAUAACAGAGUAUGUAGUAACCUUUACUUCCCCUCCCCUAAAGAAAUAAUUCGAGUGUGUUUUAUAAUUAUCUUGAUUUUCACUUUCUCUAAAAUUAUUACUUAGUGACAGGCAAACACUACUAGCAUCAUUUUAUGUAGCUGCUAUGUAAAUGUUAGAAAGAGAAUUUUAUCUGUAGCCUAGAAGCCUCAGGGAGAUGAAGCAGAUAAUGUCCACAGAGGUGUCAGACUAGUUCAGCAAACGUUCUCCCAGUUAAAAUGGAAUUAAAGUGCUUAUUUACCUCGGUGAAGUUAAGCCAUAAAUCUGGUAAUAGCAAUUUUGUGAAUUGUUAAAACUGUGUCCAAUUUUGAAAAAAUGUGCUUUGACGAUUCCUCAUGCUUCCAUUCUUAAUACGGAAGCCAUGUGCGUACUCUCACAUGUGCCAACAGGAGAACCUCCAUUACAACAGAAAAAAAUGCAUGAAAUUUAAAUUCAAUAUCAAAAAUUUGUUCUGGCCUUGAAAUUGGAAAACUAUUAGUGUUGCAUAAAUAUAUCGACAAGGAUGGAAAUAGAAUCUGAAAAUGGCUAUAAUUCUCUUCUCUUUGAGUGUGUUUUUCUGUGUAUACAGUAUCUAUAAUAGUUAUCUAUUUUAUAAACUCUCAG